rnacentral:rRNA from 1 species
CUGGUUGAUCCUGCCAGGAGGGCAAGUCUGGUUGAUCCUGCCAGUAGUCAUAUGCUUGUCUCAAAGAUUAAGCCAUGCAUGUCUAAGUACAAGCCUCACUAAGGUGAAACCGCGAAUGGCUCAUUAAAUCACACCUAAUGUACUGGAUAGUCUCAGUUACUUGGAUAACUGCGGUAAUUCUGGAGCUAAUACAUGCGCAAAACCGCGACUUUACGGAGCGGUGCUUUUAUUAGAUCAAAACCAAACGGCUUUUGCCGUCCCCCUGGUGAUUCUGAAUAACUUUGGGCUGAUCGUAUGUUCUCGAGCCGGCGACGUAUCCUUCCAAGGUGUGCCCUAUCAACUGUCGACUGUGAUAUAGACGUUCACAGUGGUUUUGACGGGUAACGGGGAAUUAGGGUUCGAUUCCGGAGAGGGAGCCUGAGAAACGGCUACCACUUCUACGGAAGGCAGCAGGCACGCAAAUUACCCACUGGGCGAAGCCCGAGGUAGUGACGAAAAAUAACGAUACCGGUCUCAUCCGAGGCCCGGUAAUCGGAAUGAGUACACUUUAAAUCCUUUAACGAGGAACAAUUGGAGGGCAAGUCUGGU